GGUGGGGGUGGAGGAGGAGGGCGGCGCUAGGUGCUAGAGAUUGGGCAGUGGCAGUGGCGCUACAGUGUGGAAGAUGAAUGGGCAAAUGGCAAAGGUGGAAUGGAAGGGCAAUUACCUCCGUUAUUUAUAAUAGCAGCACAAUAAACACUGGGCAAUAGAUCUUUUACGACUUAAGGAAUUUUCGACAAAUCAGCAUCUGAUUGAUUGGUUACCUACAUUUCGGGAUGAGAUAAAAAUAUUCUAAAGGAUGGUCACGUUGACCAAGUUUGACCCUUGUACCCACCAAACUAGUUGGCUAAAGGCUCAGGGGCUGUGUGCCACAUGUUCAUCGACAAAAAAGAUUUUCCUUGGGGUUUCAAGGGAAAAGAUGAAGUACUCGAAGAGCACCAAAAGUAGUCGGUGAAGAUAUACAAAAGCACUCGAAACUGCUGCAUUCGACUAAAAAAUACUCGGGGGCUUGUCGUACGUACAUCUAUGGGCCCACUAGAAGGUUUGGAUAGUCCCGAAUAUAGGGAUGGACACCGAGACGCAUCUACAAUGGAGACCAUGGCGUAGGACGGUGUAGUCUACAUGGAAAG
rnacentral:lncRNA from 1 species